rnacentral:rRNA from 1 species
UACGGGAGGCAGCAGUGAGGAAUAUUGGUCAAUGGGCGCAAGCCUGAUGCAGCAACGCCGCGUGAACGAAGAAGGCCUUUGGGUCGUAAAGUUCUGUUCUGAGGGAAGAAGAAAGUGACGGUACCUCAGGAGAAAGCCCCGGCUAACUACGUGCCAGCAGCCGCGGUAAU